GGUUUCCCGAGCGGGAAGCGAGGGAAAAACAAAAGUGGCAGGAAGAACCUCUGCCCGUGGUUUGGCCGCUUGGCCACCCGGGAGAAUUGGGCUGCUGUUGAGCCCCGGUCGCUGCACCGCCUAGCGAGAAGUUGAAGCCGACAACAGGAAGGUCGUCGGCCUGCGCUCCUCCUUGCGGCUGCCUUCUCCGUUUCCCCUAUGAGAGAAACUGGUAAUUCUCCCUUUGGCCUCUCGGAAUACAAGGUCGGGGGACCACCCGGAAAUCCUCCAAUCUUUCCCUAGGCAAUAUCAAACAAUCGGAAAAACACCUUGUAAGAAAGCACAGCAUUGUGACAUUAUUGUGUGCAAUGCAAUAGGUUGUUGUAUUCAAGAAAAAUACAGCAUUUUAGUUGAACUGAGGCCACUUUAUCUUCCAGCUAAUAUACAGUGGCUGGGAAGAGCACAGCUCAAUCCUGCUCCAUAUCUAAAGAACAGAAGGAGGCAGUGAUUCAAGUGUGCUGAUCAAGCAGUACUCUAAUUACUAAUUUCUAAAGUAAGCUGCAGGAAGGAGGAAAACAGAUGAAUCACAGACAGAUUCAGUUGGAAAUAAGGGAAACUGUGCUCAACUUCCAUAUAUGUUUGCAGCCUACCUUGAUUGCUGAAACAGAAUCCUGAGAAAAUUAAGCCCGUCUUGAUUGGCAGAUCUUAUGGUGGCCUAAAGUGGAACAAUUCUGCUCUUCUGUGAUCUAAAAUCAUUAAUGCUGUUUUACUGAAGAAAACAGGAGGUUAUAGUUGAUGCCAUUUGAACAAACAAGACCAUAUAUAGAUUUUGGAAAAAUUCUUAAGAAGAGAAUCUAACCACAGAAAAAAACUCAAACCUCUAUCAAAGUGUGUAGAUGUAUAUUUUACAAAAAAGGAAAAAAAUGGUAUGUUAUCACAGAACUGCGAUGCCUGGAACCUUAUAUAUAAUUAUUCAUUAAUAUAAUUAUGGAUAUUAUUGCAAAGUAUUGUACAAAUGUUAAAGAUACUAAAGUGUAGCCUGGAAAAAUCAAAACUUUAGAAUGUAUGAACUCUAUGUAACAAGUCCGUUUUGGAAAAAAGCGAUCAGCAGAUUAUGUGAACAGCAUAUCUACUUUUAAUUUAGACACUUUUAGGUUUAGAGAAGAGAGAGAACUUUCAAAGGCAGAAUUUAUUCUUAUUCCUUACCAACACGGGACACUUCUAGAUGAGCCUUUUCUUGUACCGUUACCCUCCCUUAAACACAAAAUUGUAUUAGCGAAUCUUGUGAUAUUGUCCAAAUUAAUGGGUGAGAGAUCUCAUUCUGCAGAGAUGGAAAAAUCACAUUCCCCUAGUAAUAAUUAAAAGCCAGCCUGGUUGUUCCACAUGCUUUAGACAUUCACUUGUAUCAGCAUGAAAGAACUUUUCUAUUGUACCAUUCUUUCUUUGAAAUACUCUCUGCUUUAGAAAUUGAGCACGUGCCAACUUUGCUAUGGUUGAAUAGCAAUUGCUGUGAAAUGAAAAUCUGUUUAUUUACCCUCAGCAUUUGAGAGCUCAUGAUGGCAUAGCUGAACUAGUUAACAGCUAUUGUUUUAUUAUUCUUGAAUUAUUUUGAUGUGCUUAAUCAUAUUUCUUAAGAUUUUCUUCAGUACCAGAAGAAUCAUUGCACAAAAGGUAACAAUAUUUAAAAUAAAUUUUUAAAAAGCUGAUUGCCUAUUUUCACAGAACUUCCCUGUUUGUGGAUGGUACUCAUGUUACUAUAGUUUUUUAAGGCUACUCAGAGAUAUAUUCCUCUGUUCAGGGAAGCAUAAUUUCAAAGUUAAGAUUAGGGUUGAAUGCAGGUUAAUUUUUUUCUAGCUCUAUCUGUUCCUGUCCAUGUCCAUCUUUUUAUUCAUGUAGCAAAAUAAGACGUUUUCCUUGGGCGACAACUAGGGUAAAUUUUUAGUUGGGUAUAAUUUAAUUUUGGGAAGUUUUCUAAGGAAACAAAUUUGAGUAGCAUGAGAAAUGUUUCUGCUUCUAAUGGGCUGAGCCUAUUGCAUUUAUAUUGAUGUUAUCAACAUUGAAAUACAGUUUCCUUACACAUAAAACUAAGUCACUAUUAUAAAAUGUUUACAGUUUGUUGUGCCCAGCAUAAUAAUAGCUCAAUAAUAAGAACAACAAGGCAGCUUUCCUUUGAAUAGGUUACAUUUGCCUAUCCCAGGUCCUUGGAAAGGACUCAAUAGCUAGACAAAAAUGCCAAAUCCAAUCUGAACAUCUGGCUGACUGUGUGAUAAAUCAUAAAUUAAUCUAUUAGUUUGUGUGUUUUGGAUUAGUAAAUGUCUGCAAUUUGAUUUAAAGGAGAAAUAAUUUUUAAAGUUGAGAAAAUUCCCAUUGCAGAUGGAAGAUAGCUAGGAGAAGGAAUUGGUAUCCUCGUGAGAUACAGUUGAGAGAUACAGUUUAAAAAACACGUAUUAAUUUUAGCAUUCUGAUUUGUUUUAACAAGUUGUGAUGCUUUUAUUUGGGGGGAUGUUGUUAAAAACAGUCGCAGGUUUUUAUCAGUAAUUUCAAUUGCAUAGUUAAUAUUUUUAUUCUUAUAAAAUUAUGAAAGGACAGAAUAAUCUCAGAUAGCCCAACUGUAAUUAUCUACACCAAAGCACAUAGAGGAAGUAGGCCCUAAAUGUAAGUGAAUUAUAAAAUCCACACCCUUUUUAAUACAUGGAUUUGAUGCAGAGUACAUACCUUCUAUCUUAGCAACAGCAGUCUUUGCUUUCCAGAACAUUCAAAUCAUUUGGCAACACACCCUUUUAGUCUGCUUCCAUGCCUGUUUUGCUAUCAUAACGCUUUCUCAAAAGGAGGUUAGAAGUAUAUUACUAUCUUGUUAGCUAAUGACUGAUGUUAGCUGGGAACUUCCACUGAAAAAUCCCCCACAUGAUACUUCCUUGUAUGUAGCCACAUAGAGCUGAUCAUUAUAAUUUGUACUCUCACUAAAUCAGAAUUUAAAGUGAAAACAGAAUAUAAACUAGUUGUAGAACUUUAAUAUCCUGUCAAUAAUGCCAUGUAAUACAGUAAAACUUCUGUUCUGUGGAUGUGAAUUGAAGGAUGGAGGCGUUGAAUGAGCUUUAAUUAGCAGAUACUGAGUAUUUUGCAAGGCUUAUUUUGACCAGAUGUAUAGGUUAUGAAAAACAAUCACAAAUAUUUUCUGGGGGGAGAUGCAUGGUUUGUUCAGAUUUGGGAGGCUACAUAUAGGUUAGAUGUAUUUUUGUUGAUAAAAGUUUUGCACUGAAAAGGAGUUGCCAUUUUCACAUUUUGAAAAGUGGUGUUGCACACUCUGAGCUAUCUUUUUGUGGUAGAAUUUGAGCCCCUGUGUAGCUGUAAAUCAGGUGGCAAAUUUGAAUGGUAUUUCAUGUUCUGGAUAAUUGGAAGUUUCUGCAGCACAGUUCUGUAUGAACUUUUAAAUUGAUUGUAUGGUAGCAAAUGAAUAGUUAGUGCUUAGCUAAAAGCCUUUGCAAUUUUCCUGAGUAAAAGCGCUGAUAAAUAAUACUGAUGUGUACCCUUCUGCAGAACAACUUUAGAAUGUAAAAUACAAAUCCAGUUACAAAUUUAAAAUAUCAAUUAAUCAAAUUAUAAUCAGAUAAUCCAGUAGAUUACCCUAAAGCAAAAUUUCAAACCAGCAAAUUAACAACUAUUUUAAGAAUAGCUUUAUGUGUGAAUUUGAGCAGCUGAAAUUAAAACAAUGGAGCUACUGUUUGUAUUUUUAUUAUGUUGGCCAAUAAGAAAAUUGUUUUUUUCCCCCUGGAAAAGACUUCUUGCCUGUAUGAGUUAGAAUGACUUUAGAAACUUAGUACAAGUUUCCAGAACAAA